rnacentral:rRNA from 1 species
UACGUAGGGUGCAAGCGUUGUCCGGAAUUAUUGGGCGUAAAGAGCUUGUAGGCGGUUUGUCGCGUCUGCUGUGAAAUUUCGGGGCUCAACCCCGAACUUGCAGUGGGUACGGGCAGACUAGAGUGUGGUAGGGGAGACUGGAAUUCCUGGUGUAGCGGUGAAAUGCGCAGAUAUCAGGAGGAACACCGGUGGCGAAGGCGGGUCUCUGGGCAUUAACUGACGCUGAGGAGCGAAAGCAUGGGGAGCGAACAGG